AUAUGUACAAACAAAAUAUUCACCGAGUUGAAAUGUAAUGUGAAAUAAUUAAAAAAUAAAAUGUGAAUAAAACAAUUAAGUAAGAACCGUGUAUACGGUUUAUACAGAUAUUAAAAUGUACCUAUUUUAUAUAAAUUAUUAUUAAUAUAAAAUACACAAAAUAUAUUAUACAUAAAUGUUUAUAGUAAAAUGAAUAAAACAAAAAUAAAACAAAGAGAAAGUCAAAUUUGUGGCUGAUAAUACGAAAAAAAACCUCACAUUUUAAUUAAUACUAAAGAGUCGAAAUGCACCGAGUCCAAUCAGCUGGAAGAGUUAGAUCUGGCACAGUAUGAUAUUCAAAAGACAAUUUUCUAUUUUAUACCAAACGUAAAAACAUAAAACAUGCCUUGAUCCAAACUUCCAACUGAUUGGACAAACGGUUGUUAACCCACAUGAAGUGUUGUUGCAACAAACGAACGAGAAACAAACGGAAACAAUUUACACACUAUAAAAAAAAACUAACACUUUCACUUGAAAAUAAGACUCGUUCUAAAAGCAAAAUAUCUAAACGAAAAAAAAAGUACUGAACACUAUGAUUGAUGUGUGACGAUCCGACACCAAAUGCGCUAUGAAUCUACAACCGACCGGCGUGAGGUUUUUAUACCGCGAGUGUGCCGUUUCAAGAGCCAAGCUCAAACAAGAGAUAACGUACCAACAAAUAAAAAACACACACACCGGUUGACUAAGAGCUAUAUUUAAGUAAGUGCCUGAGCGUUAUCUUUCGAGUGGUUGCGUUUAGAUACAGAGGUAAGGCUAGGGUAGACGAAAGCGUAUAACGAAAUGUAUAGAGCCGUAUAAUAAAAAAUAUAAAACCUUAUACUAAAUAACAGAUAGCGAUUGUAAUACUUUGAUGGAGAAUAAACAAAUUAUGACGAAAUUUAGGUAUAACACUCGACAAAAGAACAAAUAAUAUAAUAUAAUAAUAUUACACGAUCAGAACUAUGGCAAGUCGUAAACGACGAGACGACGAUACACAGAAAUUCCACGAACACGAAAAGAUUCGGCUACGAUCACGUUUCACGAGUACUUAGCGCGUGCCUUAAACGAAACACACUCGUUUUGCAUACACAUCGCAUAAAUUAAUCGUGUAAUAAUAAUAUGAUCGUAUUGAUACGUAUCUUACUUAGUACGUUCUAUUACUAUAUGCGUAUACUACUAUAUGCUGUGUAUUUGUGCACAUUCGAAUUGCAUGUUUGAAUUGGUCUGAAAGACACUAUGGCCACAGAUAGAUCAUGAACCAUGAUCAAAACGAUGGCGACAACGAACUAUUUAAAACAAAAAUAUUAACAGUAAUAGAAGAAAAUAAUUAAGUGCAUUCAACUAAUAUUAUAACAUAUCACUGUGGUUUGUGCAUACGUCAAUAUUUUAAAUUUGAUAUAAUAUAUAUUAAUGUCCAAUGUUUAUACAAAUUGAGUACAAUCUCGAGAUUAGUUUUAAAGUUAAUUAAUUUUUUUUCAACAAACACAAAACAAAAUUACUUGUGUAUGCAUGUAAACUUCAAAAAAGAAAAAAAUAUAGGAAAUGGUGUUGAUUCUUAUGUUUAUGAUUUGUGCGAAAUAAUACAAAUACAUCUCAGAUGGAGUUAUAUGAACUCGAAAUACAAAUCAUAACAAUGAUAAUAUUAUUAACAUUGAUCUCACUCAAAUCCAAAACAUUAAUUUUUUUCUAAUAUCUAAUUCUAUACAUAAACUAAAUUUUUCUUGACAUUAAAUUUCAUUGUUACCUAAUAUAUUUGUCUACAAUAUAACUAACUCGAGUGAUUCUUAAAGAUUUAAAUUUUAUAUUUUCAUUAUUCACUAACCAAUCAUCAAUAAAUAUUUUUAUACAUCAAAUUAUAUAAACUUUUUUUAUGUUAACUAUUUAUUAUUGAUUAUUUAUGUUCAAAUUUAAAAAUGGACCAUCUACUAAACAACAAGGUUUGAUUACAGUAUGAACUACUUAUGAGAAACCUUGAUUUUAAAUUUUCAAUCCUUAGCAAUACAAUUUGAAAAAUUUGUAAAGUUUGAUAAGUAAAGUCAAAAUUUGCAUUUUGAAUUUAUAUAAAAAAAAUUAUGUCUAUGCAUCUUCAAGGUCUUUCCCCAAUUGGAAAAAAGAAACUGAAAUACAAAUAUGUUGCCACAGUAGUUAAUAUAAUUAGCCAAAGUGAAUAUGAAGUGCAAUGUUUUGAAGCAAAUAAAGAGGAAAACACUGAGUUUGUACCUAUUGAAAAUGGUGUAUCAAUAGUUGACUUCACCAACAUAUUGUACAAAUUACCAUCUCCAGAACUUCGUCUUAAAAAUAGACAUCUUAUUUCAGUGUUUCCAGGUAUAGUUGAUGUGUUUGAAAAAAGUAGAUAUUAAGACUUAAUAUAUAUUCCUACACUCUAAUCAAAAGUCAACAAUGUGAUUUACUUAUUACCUAUUUAAUUAUUACCAGAAAGUUAUUUACUUUAAUUUUUAUUAGGUACAAUGUUUCAUUAAGUUUUAUUUAUAUUUUUAUUAUAACCCAACUAGGUUUUUGUUUUAUUAUAUCUUAGGCAGGGAUCAAUUUUUAUUUAAAAGACUGUUAUAUUAUGUUUUCCUACAUUCUAACCUAUAACCAAAAAUCAACAAGUGUGAUUUAAUUAUUUCCAGAAAGUUAUUUACUUUAAUUUUUAUUA